AGGUCUUGACAUUGAUGGACAGAACUAGAGAUAGUUUUUCUUCUUCGGAAGCCAGAAAACAGGUGGUGCACGGUU
rnacentral:rRNA from 1 species